ACGAUACGGAUUUCACGCCCGCUGGUAUUCCGUUUGAGACAUUUUUCUUAUUAAAUUCUCAACGGUUUUUUCCUUAGAAUGAUGAAAUGAAAAACCGACGACAAAUGAUGAUGCACAUCGGUUUCGUUCUCGUUGAUUUCCGGGUUAUAUACAUUAUACCCAUUCGACCGGCGGGGAAAAAAUACGACGAUCCAUUACCAUAUCGUAUGGACUCCGUACAGGAUC